rnacentral:rRNA from 1 species
CCCAGCCAGUACUUCAGUUUUGGGUGGGGUCUUGCGCAUUGCUUCCGGAUAUCACCAAACCCCGGGCAGGAAAAGUGUCAAGGAACAUUCAACUAGGUAGCCUGCUUUCGCCAACCCGGAGACGGUGUUUGUGCGGAAGCUGUGCUCCAAUGUAAAGUCUAAAACGACUCUCGGCAACGGAUAUCUCGGCUCUCGCAUCGAUGGAGAACGUAGCGAAAUGCGAUACUUGGUGUGAAUUGCAGAAUCCCGUGAACCAUCGAGUCUUUGAACGCAAGUUGCGCCCCAAGCCUUCUGGCCGAGGGCACGUCUGCCUGGGUGUCACAAAUCGUCGUCCCCCCAUCCUCUCGAGGAUAUGGGACGGAAGCUGGUCUCCCGUGUGUUACCGCACGCGGUUGGCCAAAAUCCGAGCUAAGGACGUUUUGGAGCGUCUCGACAUGCGGUGGUGAAUUGUAACCUCGUCAUAUUGUCGGUCGUUCCGGUUCAAAAGCUCUUGAUGACCCAAAGUCCUCAACGCGACCCCAGGUCAGGCGGGAUCACCCGCUGAG